CCCUACUGCUAUCGAGAUGGGACUAAGCCAUGCUAGUCGCGCGAGUCCAACCAUGAGGACAAGCGGCAAACCGCUCAGUAACACGUAGCUAACCUACCCUCAGGACGUGAAUACCCCCGGGAAACUGGGGCUAAUUCGCGAUAGGUAUGGAGGCCUGGAAUGGUUCCAUGCCCAAACGCACGGCAGUCAUGUUUGUCGUGUGCCUGAGGAUGGGGCUGCGGCCGAUCAGGCAGUUGGCGAGGUAACGGCUCACCAAACCUUUGACCGGUACGGGCCAUGAAAGUGGUAGCCCGGAGAUGGGCACUGAGACAGGGGCCCAGGCCCUACGGGGCGCAGCAGGCGCGAAAACUCCACAAUGUACGACAGUACGAUGGGGUUAUCUCGAGUGCAGUCCGAUAAGGGCUGCUUUUCCAUAGAGUAAUAUCCUGUGGGAAUAAGAGGGGGGCAAGACUGGUGUCAGCCGCCGCGGUAACACCAGCCCCUCGAGUGGUGGGGACUAUUAUUUGGUCUAAAGCGUCCGUAGCUGGCUGUAUCCGUCCUCCGUUAAAUCCAGCGUCCUAAACGUUGGACUGCGGAUGAUACCAUAUAGCUAGAGGGUGGGAUAGGUGAGCGGUAUUUCUAGGGUAGGGGCGAAAUCCUUUGAUCCCAGGAGGACCACCAGUGGCGAAGGCUGCUCACUAGAACACGCCUGACGGUCAGGGACGAAAGCUGGGGCAGCGAACCGGAUUAGAUACCCGGGUAGUCCCAGCUGUAAACGAUGCUAGCUAGGUGUUGGGUCGGCCACGCGCCGCCCCAGUGCCGCAGGGAAGCCGUUAAGCUAGCCACCUGGGGAGUACGGCCGCAAGGCUGAAACUUAA
rnacentral:rRNA from 1 species